GAAAUUGUAAUACCCGUGAAGAUGCGGGUUACCUGCGACAGGACAGAAAGACCCCAUGGAGCUUUACUGUAGCUUGACAUUGGAUUUUGGUAGAGAAUGUACAGGAUAGGUGGGAGACUAAGAAGCUAGGGCGCCAGCCUUGGUGGAGUCGCCGGUGGGAUACCACUCUUUUUGUACUGAAAUUCUAACUUAGUCCCCUGAAACGGGGAUGAGGACCGUGUCAGGUGGGCAGUUUGACUGGGGCGGUCGCCUCCCAAAGAGUAACGGAGGCGCCCAAAGGUUCCCUCAGCGCGGAUGGAAAUCGCGCGAAGAGUGUAAAGGCAGAAGGGAGCUUGACUGCGACACCCACAAGUGGAGCAGGGACGAAAGUCGGGCUUAGUGAUCCGGUGGUACCGAGUGGAAGGGCCAUCGCUCAACGGAUAAAAGCUACCCUGGGGAUAACAGGCUUAUCUCCCCCAAGAGUCCAUAUCGACGGGGAGGUUUGGCACCUCGAUGUCGGCUCAUCGCAUCCUGGGGCUGUAGUAGGUCCCAAGGGUUGGGCUGUUCGCCCAUUAAAGCGGUACGUGAGCUGGGUUCAGAACGUCGUGAGACAGUUCGGUCCCUAUCCGUCGCAGGCGCAGGAAAUUUGAGAGGAUCUGUCCCUAGUACGAGAGGACCGGGAUGGACGGAUCCCUGGUGUACCAGUUGUCUCGCCAGAGGCACCGCUGGGUAGCUAUAUCCGGAGCGGAUAAGCGCUGAAAGCAUCUAAGCGCGAAACCGACCUCAAGAUGAGAUUUCCCACGAGCGCAAGCUCGGUAAGACCCCUGAAAGAUGAACAGGUUGAUAGGCCCGGUGUGGAAGCGCCGUGAGGUGUGAAGCUGACGGGUACUAAUCGGUCGAGGGCUUGACCAA
rnacentral:ncRNA from 1 species